UACGUAGGGAGCAAGCGUUGUUCGGAUUUACUGGGCGUAAAGGGCGCGUAGGCGGCGCGGUAAGUCAGCUGUGAAAUCUCCGAGCUUAACUCGGAACGGCCAGCUGAUACUGCAGUGCUAGAGUGCAGAAAGGGCAAUCGGAAUUCUUGGUGUAGCGGUGAAAUGCGUAGAUAUCAAGAGGAACACCUGAGGCGAAGGCGGGUUGCUAGGCUGACACUGACGCUGAGGCGCGAAAGCCAGGGGAGCAAACGGG
rnacentral:rRNA from 1 species